rnacentral:misc_RNA from 1 species
GGAAAAAGGCUUAUUACAAAAGCAGAGAGACGUGGCAACUCUCCCUUCAUUUCCAUAAAUGGACACACCCUCCCUCAAUGGACACGCCCAUCCCACCUAUCUCUCUCUCUCUGUUUCAUGUAGUACGCUUUGUAGUCGUAGAUUACAAUUUCUGAAGAAACAGACUAAAUGGUGGCUCCGGAUGUAAAUUCUAGCGGUGUCGGUACUGGCGGCGAUGGAGAUUUUUCUCCUUCGUUUGCAACAAUUUUGUUGCCAGAGUCACUUCCACAACCAGCAAAAACCAUUGAAUUACCUAAGGAUGACAAGCCCAUUGAUUUAGUUACUAAUGUCAAAGCGGAGGAAAUGCUAGUUGUCCCCGAUUCCAGACCCGUCACUUGCGCCGCUUGCGGUGAAGCCAGCUAUGAUGGGCCCUCUUCUACCUCCUCUUCAUCCAUUAAGACAACAGAAAUAAAAAAGGCGGCGGCGGCGGAGGAGACUGUCAAGGUGGUGAUGAUCAAAGAAGAAGAGGAGGUGGAGGAUACAGGGGCCAUUAGCGUAGUUCACUAUGGUAAUUGCAUCAAUGUCGGUGGCGGUGACGGUGACGGCGACGGUGACGGUGGAGGUGUUAAUGGCAAUGGGUCGUCGUCUUCGUCUUCUUCAGUUGAUUUGCCCAAACCCAUGGAAGGUUUACACGAGACAGGUCCGCCGCCGUUUCUAAAGAAGACUUUUGAGAUGGUGGAGGAUCCGGAGACGGAUUCCACUGUGUCUUGGAGUAAAAAUCGGGAUAGUUUAAUCGUCUGGAACGCUCAUGAGUUUUCCAAACAUUUGCUUCCUAAAUACUUCAAGCACUGUAAUUUUUCCAGCUUCGUUCGCCAGCUCAACACCUAUGGUUUUAGAAAGAUUGAUCCCGAUAGAUGGGAGUUUGCAAAUGAAUGGUUUCGGGGAGGGAAGAGGCAUUUGCUCAAGAACAUCAAGAGGAGGAGUAGGUACAACAAGCGGGAACAAGGAGCAGCAAACGGUGGUGAUUCCGCUAAACCCGGUACGGAAGUCGAAAUUGAAAAUUUGAAGAAUGAUCGAGACUUAUUGAAAGUCGAAAUCCUCAAACUCAGUCAGCAACAAGAGAACUCAGAGAAUCAACUCAGCAUUGUUGAGCAGCGCACUCGAGUUGCUGAGUGCAAGCAAUUGCAGAUGUUCAUUUUCCUCUCUAAAGCGGCCAAGAACCGAGGCUUUAUUCAAAAUCUUAUCCCGAAGAGAAAGCAACAGAGAGAACUGGAUGGGAGUGAACUCAAGAAAAGAAGACUGCUUCCAACCCAAGUUCCCGAAAACUUGCCUGAUGCAGCGGAUGCCAACCAAAGUGUCAAUUGUAGAUACCAAGCUCAGGAACAAUUAGCCACUAUGCAAACUGAACUCGCUGAGAUAUUAAGAGAGGAUACAGAGACCAAUACAAUGUUAAAACUAUUUGGGGCUCCCAUGAGUGAUGAAUUUUGCAGUCCUAUUCAGGACCAAAAGGCCAAUUUGAUAUGUGGAACCAAUGACCGGGAAUCUGUUCACCAUCUAAUGUCAGAGAAAUUGCUGGAUGAGGAUUCUGUUUCUGAGAAUUUAGUUGAAGAAGACGUCGAAGUGAAUGACUCAAAGUUUUACCUUGAAUUGGAAGAUUUGAUUGGAAAACCACGAACUUGGGGUGGAUAUGUAACCGAGAUGGUAGAGCAUGCGGGUUGUACUUGAUCAGUACCCUGAUUUCAAUGGCAACAGGGAUGUCUCUGUACCUCACGCAGAGACAACUAGUUGUGUGAACUGGCCCUUCCAGUUGAGCUCCUAAGCCCCCAGUUGGAGAUGCUAGCGUUCGACAGUGGUUAUAAACGUUCAUAUUUUUCCUCACAUCAGUAAAUACCAUAGUUUAGUUCUGCAUCCAAGGUUUUGUCAUAAUAUGUAUAAAUUAUAAUUAUAGUAGACUUGGUGUCAAAUUCAUGGAUCAUGGUGGUGGAUUUUCGAUGUGUGGCGAAAAUUUUCCUAAACGUUGGUAAUGCUAUUAAAUGCUGCUUAUGUGGCUCUUAAGAAAUUAUUAGGCGUAAGUUUACUGGGUGCAUAUGGGACUCACUCUUU